UGGGGAAUUGUUCACAAUGGGCGCAAGCCUGAUGACGCAACGCCGCGUGGGGGAUGAAGGUCUUCGGAUCGUAAACCCCUGUCGAAUGGGACGAAAGACUCGCGAGUGAAUACUUCGCGAGAGUGACGGUACCGUUAAAGGAAGCCACGGCUAACUCUGUGCCAGCAGCCGCGGUAAUACAGAGGUGGCAAGCGUUGUUCGGAAUUACUGGGCGUAAAGGGCGCGUAGGCGGCCCUCUAAGUCAGACGUGAAAUCCCCGGGCUUAACCUGGGAACUGCGUUUGAAACUACAGAGCUAGAGUGUGGCAGAGGGGGUGAAUUCCAUGUGUAGCAGUGAAAUGCGUAGAGAUAUGGAAGAACAUCGAUGGCGAAGGCAGCCCCCUGGGUUAACACUGACGCUCAUGCACGAAAGCGUGGGGAGCAAACAGGAUUAGAUACCCCUGUAGUCCCUGAGCGGGCUGGCAAGGCGCAU
rnacentral:rRNA from 1 species